rnacentral:piRNA from 1 species
UAGAAAACCUUCUUGUAUGCUACACUGUU